GACGAACGCUGGCGGCGUGCUUAACACAUGCAAGUCGAACGGUGAAGCGCCUUCCUUUUUGGUGGGUGUGGAUGAGUGCCGAACGGGUGAGUAACACGUGAGUAACCUGCCCCCUUCUUCUGGAUAACCGCAUGAAAGUGUGGCUAAUACGGGAUAUUCUGGGUCUGUCGCAUGAUGGGUCUGGGAAAGAUAUUGUUUCGGUGGGGGAUGGGCUCGCGGCCUAUCAGCUUGUUGGUGGGGUGAUGGCCUACCAAGGCGGUGACGGGUAGCCGGCCUGAGAGGGUGGACGGUCACACUGGGACUGAGACACGGACCAGACUCCUACGGGAGGCAGCAGUGGGGAAUAUUGCACAAUGGGCGCAAGCCUGAUGCAGCGACGCCGCGUGAGGGAUGGAGGCCUUCGGGUUGUGAACCUCUUUCGCCAGUGAAGCAGGCCUGCCUCGUUUGUGGGUGGGUUGACGGUAGCUGGAUAAGAAGCGCCGGCUAACUACGUG
rnacentral:rRNA from 1 species